rnacentral:SRP_RNA from 1 species
AGCCCCUCGCGCGGCGGCAUCCCGCCCAACUCCCCCAGGGCCGGAAGGCAGCAAGGGUCAGCAGGCUCUGCCGGGUGCGCGAGGGGUCUCCU